GGAUUCCCCUAGUAACUGCGAGUGAAGCGGGAAAAGCUCAAAUUUAAAAUCUGGCGGUCUUUGGCCGUCCGAGUUGUAGUCUGGAGAAGUGCUUUCCGCGCUGGACCGUGUAUAAGUCUCUUGGAACAGAGCGUCAUAGAGGGUGAGAAUCCCGUCUUUGACACGGACUACCAGUGCUUUGUGAUGCGCUCUCAAAGAGUCGAGUUGUUUGGGAAUGCAGCUCAAAAUGGGUGGUGAAUUCCAUCUAAAGCUAAAUAUUGGCGAGAGACCGAUAGCGAACAAGUACCGUGAGGGAAAGAUGAAAAGCACUUUGGAAAGAGAGUUAAACAGUACGUGAAAUUGCUGAAAGGGAAACGCUUGAAGUCAGUCGCGUUGUCCGGAACUCAGCCUUGCUUUUGCUUGGUGCACUUUCCGGAUGACGGGUCAGCAUCGAUUUUGACCGUCGGAAAAGGGCUGGAGUAAUGUGGCACCUCCGGGUGUGUUAUAGACUCUGGUCGCAUACGGCGGUUGGGAUCGAGGAACGCAGCGCGCCGCAAGGCAGGGGUUCGCCCACUUUCGCGCUUAGGAUGCUGGCAUAAUGGCUUUAAACGACCCGUCUUGAAACACGGACCAAGGAGUCUAACAUACCUGCGAGUGUUUGGGUGGAAAACCCGAGCGCGUAAUGAAAGUGAAAGUUGAGAUCCCUGUCGUGGGGAGCAUCGACGCCCGGACCAGACGUUCUCUGACGGAUCCGCGGUAGAGCAUGUAUGUUGGGACCCGAAAGAUGGUGAACUAUGCCUGAAUAGGGUGAAGCCAGAGGAAACUCUGGUGGAGGCUCGUAGCGAUUCUGACGUGCAAAUCGAUCGUCAAAUUUGGGUAUAGGGGCGAA
rnacentral:rRNA from 1 species